UACGUAGGGUGCGAGCGUUGUCCGGAAUUACUGGGCGUAAAGAGCUCGUAGGUGGUUUGUCGCGUUGUUCGUGAAAACCGGGGGCUUAACCCUCGGCGUGCGGGCGAUACGGGCAGACUUGAGUACUGCAGGGGAGACUGGGAAUUCCUGGUGUAGCGGUGGGAAUGCGCAGAUAUCAGGAGGAACACCGGUGGCGAAGGCGGGGUCUCUGGGCAGUAACUGACGCUGAGGAGCGAAAGCGUGGGGAGCGAACAGG
rnacentral:rRNA from 1 species